AAGUGAGAAGCAAAAUAUUGCAAUCAGUUUCGACCUGAUCCUAGAUAACACCUAUUUAUCCUCACUUU
rnacentral:tRNA from 1 species